rnacentral:tRNA from 1 species
GACAAAAUGGCUGAUAAAAGCAAAAAACUGUAAAUUUUUUUAUAGAAACUUUCUUUUUGUUA